rnacentral:rRNA from 1 species
GAUGAACGCUGGCGGCGUGCCUAAUACAUGCAAGUCGAGCGAACAGACGAGGAGCUUGCUCCUCUGACGUUAGCGGCGGACGGGUGAGUAACACGUGGAUAACCUACCUAUAAGACUGGGAUAACUUCGGGAAACCGGAGCUAAUACCGGAUAAUAUAUUGAACCGCAUGGUUCAAUAGUGAAAGACGGUUUUGCUGUCACUUAUAGAUGGAUCCGCGCCGCAUUAGCUAGUUGGUAAGGUAACGGCUUACCAAGGCGACGAUGCGUAGCCGACCUGAGAGAGUGAUCGGCCACACUGGAACUGAGACACGGUCCAGACUACUACGGGAGGCAGCAGUAGGGAAUCUUCCGCAAUGGGCGAAAGCCUGACGGAGCAACGCCGCGUGAGUGAUGAAGGUCUUCGGAUCGUAAAACUCUGUUAUUAGGGAAGAACAAAUGUGUAAGUAACUAUGCACGUCUUGACGGUACCUAAUCAGAAAGCCACGGCUAACUACGUG